rnacentral:rRNA from 1 species
GACGAACGCUGGCGGCGUGCUUAACACAUGCAAGUCGAGCGGUAAGGCCCUUCGGGGUACACGAGCGGCGAACGGGUGAGUAACACGUGGGUGACCUGCCUUUAGCUCUGGGAUAAGCCUGGGAAACUGGGUCUAAUACCGGAUAUGACCUCAUGACGCAUGUUGUGGGGUGGAAAGCCUUGUGCGGCUAGAGAUGGGCCCGCGGCCUAUCAGCUUGUUGGUGGGGUGANGGCCUACCAAGGCGACGACGGGUAGCCGGCCUGAGAGGGCGACCGGCCACACUGGGACUGAGACACGGCCCAGACUCCUACGGGAGGCAGCAGUGGGGAAUCUUGCGCAAUGGGCGAAAGCCUGACGCAGCGACGCCGCGUGAGGGAUGACGGCCU